rnacentral:rRNA from 1 species
GAUGAACGCUGGCGGCGUGCUUAACACAUGCAAGUCGAACGGUGAAGCCAAGCUUGCUUGGUGGAUCAGUGGCGAACGGGUGAGUAACACGUGAGCAACCUGCCCUGGACUCUGGGAUAAGCGCUGGAAACGGCGUCUAAUACUGGAUAUGAGCCCCUAUCGCAUGGUGGGGGUUGGAAAGAUUUUUUGGUCUGGGAUGGGCUCGCGGCCUAUCAGCUUGUUGGUGAGGUAAUGGCUCACCAAGGCGUCGACGGGUAGCCGGCCUGAGAGGGUGACCGGCCACACUGGGACUGAGACACGGCCCAGACUCCUACGGGAGGCAGCAGUGGGGAAUAUUGCACAAUGGGCGAAAGCCUGAUGCAGCAACCGCCGCGUGAGGGAUGACGGCCUUCGGGUUGUAAACCUCUUUUAGCAGGGAAGAAGCGAAAGUGACGGUACCUGCAGAAAAAGCGCCGGCUAACUACGUGCCAGCAGCCGCGGUAAUACGUAGGGCGCAAGCGUUAUCCGGAAUUAUUGGGCGUAAAGAGCUCGUAGGCGGUUUGUCGCGUCUGCUGUGAAAUCCCGAGGCUCAACCUCGGGCCUGCAGUGGGUACGGGCAGACUAGAGUGCGGUAGGGGAGAUUGGAAUUCCUGGUGUAGCGGUGGAAUGCGCAGAUAUCAGGAGGAACACCGAUGGCGAAGGCAGAUCUCUGGGCCGUAACUGACGCUGAGGAGCGAAAGGGUGGGGAGCAAACAGGCUUAGAUACCCUGGUAGUCCACCCCGUAAACGUUGGGAACUAGUUGUGGGGACCAUUCCACGGUUUCCGUGACGCAGCUAACGCAUUAAGUUCCCCGCCUGGGGAGUACGGCCGCAAGGCUAAAACUCAAAGGAAUUGACGGGGACCCGCACAAGCGGCGGAGCAUGCGGAUUAAUUCGAUGCAACGCGAAGAACCUUACCAAGGCUUGACAUAUACNAGAACGGGCCAGAAAUGGUCAACUCUUUGGACACUCGUAAACAGGUGGUGCAUGGUUGUCGUCAGCUCGUGUCGUGAGAUGUUGGGUUAAGUCCCGCAACGAGCGCAACCCUCGUUCUAUGUUGCCAGCACGUAAUGGUGGGAACU